GCUUGGUAAAACAGAAAACUUACACAGAAGGACUCCGAUUUUUUCGCUCUCAAAAACACCACCAUUGGCAUCAUUAAUAAGAUAUCCGACAUAGCCAUUGUCGACAAAAAACCAGUAUUUUCUCCAAAUUGCUUUGUUAUCUGCCUUGCUAGAACUGAUAUUUCUUAGUAACCACCCUUGACGUUUAGUUGCGUUUGUUUGACAUAUUUGCUGGGGAUCGAAACGAUAUGCGUCUAAAUUAGUUGGUGG